CGCGUAGGCGGUUUGUUAAGUCAGCUGUGAAAGCCCCGGGCUUAACCUGGGAAUUGCAGUUGAUACUGGCCGACUAGAGUACGAGAGAGGGAGGUAGAAUUCCACGUGUAGCGGUGAAAUGCGUAGAUAUGUGGAGAAUACCGGUGGCGAAGGCGGCCUCCUGGCUCGAUACUGACGCUGAGGUGCGAAAGCGGUGGGGAGACAAACA
rnacentral:rRNA from 1 species